GAUGAACGCUGGCGGCGUGCCUAAUACAUGCAAGUCGAGCGAACAGACGAGGAGCUUGCUCCUCUGACGUUAGCGGCGGACGGGUGAGUAACACGUGGAUAACCUACCUAUAAGACUGGGAUAACUUCGGGAAACCGGAGCUAAUACCGGAUAAUAUAUUGAACUGCAUGGUUCAAUAGUGAAAGACGGUUUUGCUGUCACUUAUAGAUGGAUCCGCGCCGCAUUAGCUAGUUGGUAAGGUAACGGCUUCCAAGGCAACGAUGCGUAGCCGACCUGAGAGGGUGAUCGGCCACGCUGGAACUGCGACACGGUCCAGACUCCUACGGGAGGCAGCAGUAGGGACUCUUCCGCAAUGGGCGAAAGCCUGACGGAGCAACGCCGCGUGAGUGAUGAAGAUCUUCGGAUCGUAAAACUCUGUUAUUAGGGAAGAACAAAUGUGUAAGUAACUAUGCACGUCUUGACGGUACCUAAUCAGAAAGCCACGGCUAACUACGUG
rnacentral:rRNA from 1 species